UGGAUCAUCUACCUUCUAGUGGGGAAUACCCCCGGGAAACUGGGGACAAUACCGCAUAAGCUCGUAAGAGGAAAGCAGCAAUGCGCUGGAAGAGGAGUCCGCGGCUGAUUAGCUAGUUGGCGGGGUAACGGCCCACCAAGGCGAAGAUCGGUAGCCGGCCUGAGAGGGCACACGGCCACACUGGCACUGAAACACGGGCCAGACUCCUACGGGAGGCAG
rnacentral:rRNA from 1 species